rnacentral:rRNA from 1 species
GAUGAACGCUGGCGGCGUGCCUAAUACAUGCAAGUCGAGCGAACGGACGAGAAGCUUGCUUCUCUGAUGUUAGCGGCGGACGGGUGAGUAACACGUGGAUAACCUACCUAUAAGACUGGGAUAACCUCGGGAAACCGGAGCUAAUACCGGAUGAUAUUUUGAACCGCAUUGUUCAAAAGUGAAAGACGGUCUUGCUGUCACUUAUAGAUGGAUCCGCGCUGCAUUAGCUAGUUGGUAAGGUAACGGCUUACCAAGGCAACGAUGCAUAGCCGACCUGAGAGGGUGAUCGGCCACACUGGAACUGAGACACGGUCCAGACUCCUACGGGAGGCAGCAGUAGGGAAUCUUCCGCAAUGGGCGAAAGCCUGACGGAGCAACGCCGCGUGAGUGAUGAAGGCCUUCGGAUCGUAAAACUCUGUUAUUAGGGAAGAACAUAUGUGUAAGUAACUGUGCACAUCUUGACGGUACCUAAUCAGAAAGCCACGGCUAACUACGUG